UUGAUGUACUUUUACACCGUGAGAGGGUCAGCUGUUGAACAUGUGAGGAAGGAAGAUGUGCUUUUUGAUGCGACUAAAAUAGUUUCAUACUAAAAGUCCCUUUUCACAACUUCCGUAUUUGUUACCGGAAAUACGCAAUCGUGUUGGAAAUAUUCUUUCUGUCCGGUCAGUGCAACGUUAAACAAAUGGCGCAAGAAAAUAGAAACAAGUUUAUUGUAGCGUACCGGGCUGUUCUUGUUAUUCCCAAAAAGCAGCCAAAUCUGUCGUUUCAUUCCUUUCCUGUUGAUGGUGGUGUUUGACGAAAAUGGAUCCGGCGGGACGAAGGACCAAACUUUAGCAAAGGGGAGCACUCAUAUGAUGCAGCUGUUGACAUCUGCAAUGCUUAAGGGGAAGCCAAACGUUCUCUUCCUGGUUUCAUCGUCACACCUCCAUUCUGCAGAAUGAGGCCGUGCGUCGUGCCUCUUUUUGCUGUUACUCUGCUGACGUUAUGUGAAGCACAAGGAACCAUUGAGACUCCUGUGUUUGUGCUGAAGGGACGUGAUCUGCUCCUGGAGCUUCAUGCUGAUCUUCCUGAGAAGUUUUCAUUUGUUGACUGGAAAAUCAAUAAAACAGUCACUUUAGUAAGAAUCGAAUCUAGUGGGGAACCAAAUGUCUUUAAAGAUUUCACUGGAAGGCUUGAGUUUCCAGAUAAACACUUCUCUGUAAUAUUGAAGAAUCUACAAGACGCCGAUAGUGGAGUUUAUUCUGCUGUAGCAGUAACACCUAC